rnacentral:ribozyme from 1 species
GCUAGUUCUGCAGCUGUUGUGGUAGCAUUACUGAAGCCUCUUGCAGGUUAACAAAGGCUCUCCAUACCCUACCUCGACUCAAUACGUUCCCCUGUCGUACAAAACGGUAGCAUGUCUCAACGGAAAUGA